rnacentral:rRNA from 1 species
AAACUUUCAACAACGGAUCUCUAGGCUCUUGCAUCGAUGAAGAACGCAGUGAAAUGCGAUACGUAAUGUGAAUUGCAGAUUCUCGUGAAUCAUUGAAUUUUUGAACGCAUAUUGCGCCUUAUGGUAUUCCAUAAGGCAUGCCUGUCUGAGCGUCAGCU